rnacentral:rRNA from 1 species
AUGAACAUAGCUGCCCGUGUGGCCAAAGGUUUAGAGUAUCUGCACCACAAAGGUGUGGUGUACCGCAAAUCCAUGGGUAGCUUGGACAUCCUGCUCGGAGAUGGCUACCACCCAAAGAUGUCCCAGCAUGGACUGGCAGACCUUGGACGGUUGCUUGCAGAGGAUAACAAAGGCUGGUGUACUGAUUUCUGGGGAAGCACUACCAUUGCCCCCGAGACAUACGUUACGGGGAAGGUGACCAAGGAGUCGAACGUGUACAGCUUCGGCGGACUGCUGCUGGAGAUGAUCACAGGGCGGAGGCCCAUUGAGCCCGCCGACGAGGAUCGGAACCUUAUCGCAUGGGCCACACGAUUGAUGAAGGACAGGAGCCGAUUGCGAAGGAUGGCAGACCCGGCGCUGCAGGGCCGGUACCUGUCCAUGGAUUUGGAGGAGGCCCUCACAGUUGCUUCCAUGUGCGUCCACCAACAGCCGGCCAUGAGAUCGCCCAUCGGCACCGUCGUCACAGCUCUGUCUCGCCUCGCCUAUGAUGUCGAUCCACCCGAAUCAUCACACCCUGCGGCACCUAGUUAA